CCUGCAGCCAGCUCACCAAAUCAG
rnacentral:siRNA from 1 species